rnacentral:rRNA from 1 species
AUUGUAGUCUGCAACUCGACUACAUGAAGCUGGAAUCGCUAGUAAUCGCAGAUCAGAAUGCUGCGGUGAAUACGUUCCCGGGUCUUGUACACACCGCCCGUCACACCAUGGGAGUCGGGAAUGCCCGAAGUCAGUGACCCAACCGCAAGGAGGGAGCUGCCGAAGGCAGGCUCGAUAACUGGGGUGAAGUCGUAACAAGGUACC